rnacentral:misc_RNA from 1 species
GAUGAAGAACGCAGCGAAAUGCGAUACGUAAUGUGAAUUGCAGAAUUCAGUGAAUCAUCGAAUCUUUGAACGCAUAUAGCGCUCUCUGGUAUUCCGGAGAGCAUGCUUGUUUGAGUAUCAGUAAACACCUCAACUCUUUUUUCUUUUUUGAAAUUGGAGCUGGACUUGAGUGAUCCCAACGCUUUCUUCCAAGAAAGUGGCGGGUUGCUUGAAAUGCAGGUGCAGCUGAACUUUUCUCUGAGCUAUAAGCAUAUCUAUUUAGUCUGCCUAAAAAACAGAUUAUUACCUUUGCUGCAGCUAACAUAAAGGAGACUAGUUCUUGUGCUGACUGAUGCAGGAUUCACAGAGACAGCUUCGGCUGACUUUGUAAACUCGAUCUCAAAUCAAGUAAGACUACCCGCUGAACUUAAGCAUAUCAAUAAGCGGAGGA